rnacentral:rRNA from 1 species
GACGAACGCUGGCGGCGCGCUUAACACAUGCAAGUCGAACGGAAAGGCCUGCUUUCCCUUGUGGAUUGCGGGUACUCGAGUGGCGAACGGGUGAGUAACACGUGAGUGAUCUGCCCCCAACUUGGGUAUAAGCCUGGGAAACUGGGUCUAAUUCCCGAUAGGACUGCAGGGUGGUGCCUGUGGUGGAAAACGAUUUUCUAGUGGUUGGGGAUGAGCUGGCGGCCUAUCAGCUUGUUGGUGGGGUAAUGGCCUGCCAAGGCGGCGACGGGUAGCCGGCCUGAGAGGGUGGACGGCGACAUUGGGACUGAGAUACGGCCCAGACUCCUACGGGAGGCAGCAGUGGGGAAUAUUGCACAAUGGGCGGAAGCCUGAUGCAGCGACGCCGCGUGGGGGAUGACGGCCUUCGGGUUGUAAACUCCUUUCGACCGCGAGGAAGCCACCUGGUUGGAAGGGUGGUGACGGUAGUGGUAGAAGAAGCACCGGCUAACUACGUG